rnacentral:rRNA from 1 species
AGAGUUUGAUCCUGGCUCAGGACGAACGCUUGCGGCGUGCCUAAGAAAUGCAAGUCGAACGAGGACUUCGGUCCUAGUGGCGAACGGUCGCGUAACACGUAAGCAACCUGCCCUGAAGUGGGGGACAACAUUCCGAAAGGGGUGCUAAUACCGCAUGUGGUCACGAGUCGGCAUCGACUUGUGUCUAAAGAUUUAUCGCUUCAGGAUGGGCUUGCGGCCUAUCAGGUAGUUGGUGGGGUAAUGGCCUACCAAGCCGACGACGGGUAGCUGGUCUGAGAGGACGAUCAGCCGGAUUGGGACUGAGAUACGGCCCAGACUCCUACGGGGGGCAGCAAUUAGGAAUCUUGCGCAAUGGGGGAAACCCUGACGCAGCGACGUCGCGUGAAGGAUGAAGGCCCUCGGGUCGUAAACUUCUUUUGAGUGGGAAGAAAUUUGACGGUACCACUCGAAUAAGCCCCGGCUAACUACGUGCCAGCAGCCGCGGUAAUACGUAGGGGGCGAGCGUUGUCCGAAGUUACUGGGCGUAAAGCGCGCGUAGGCGGUUAUUUAAGUCUGGGGUGAAAGGUUCAGCGCUCAACGUGAACAGUGCCUUGGAUACUGGAUGACUUGAGUCUGGGAGGGGGAAGGGGAAUUCCUGGUGUAGCGGUGAAAUGCGUAGAUAUCAGGAGGAACACCGGUGGCGAAGGCGCCUUCCUGGCCUAAGACUGACGCUGAGGUGCGAAAGCGUGGGGAGCAAACGGGAUUAGAUACCCCGGUAGUCCACGCCGUAAACGAUGAGUGCUAGGUGUCGGGGGUAUCGACCCCCCCGGUGCCGUCGCUAACGCAUUAAGCACUCCGCCUGGGGAGUACGGCCGCAAGGUUGAAACUCAAAGGAAUUGACGGGACCCCGCACAAGCGGUGGAGCAUGUGGAUUAAUUCGUCACUAACCGAAGAACCUUACCCAGGUUUGACAUCGAGGGUAAAACUAUGAAAGUAGUUCCUCUAGCAAUAGACCCGAAGACAGGUGUUGCAUGGCUGUCGUCAGCUCGUGUCGUGAGAUGUUGGGUUAAGUCCCGCAA